rnacentral:lncRNA from 1 species
UCAUAAGACUAAAACACAUACAUCAAAAUUCAACUGAUAAACAGACAUAGUAAGAAUCGAUAAAGUCAAAAGGAAAUUAAUCCAGGCAGCGUUUAAGUUCAUGUGAUUCAAAGACAAACAAGAGAAUUAGCUAACUGAAGUUACAAAGGCAUGCUUCUUACAAACUAGAAAGGACUAAUUUAACAGCAAUAACAGUGUAAGAUACUAACAUUUAACAUGGCAAACAAUAAAUAAACAAUACCUUUGAUAUCAUCCUCUUGACAAAGNNNN